rnacentral:lncRNA from 1 species
CCUCCUUUAAUUGCUUUAUGUUCACGGGACACUGUCUCCAGGAUAAGAUUGCAAGUAUUUUUUUAUAUUACUUCCCCUUGUCCCUGGUGCUGUAGGGUUUCAAGCUGAAACCAGUAAAAAAAGGACUUCCUGCUGAGUAACUUUUGCCCAGGCAGCAGGGCUGAGGAGCUGGGGAGGAAGGAGAGACCCUGGCUGUAUUCUUUCUGAUAGGUGUUACACAUCAGGCUUGAGUAAUUUGGUCAGGUUCAAUAAUGUGCUGCAGUUACUCUGUAAACACUUAGAAUCGUGGAGUGUCAGGUCUGGAAGGAGAUUUAAAGACAACCUGGUCUUAUGGUUCUCUAACUGUGCUCCAAGGAAUCCUAGGGGCUCCUGUGUGGGGGUCGGGGUGUGCCUUCUUUUCAGUCUCUAAGAGCAGGUGGGCUGGAGAGCUGAGCUGACUUAGGCCUAAGCACUGGCCCCUUUUCUUGAAAUAUUUAAUGGGGCUGUAUCAGAUUUCUUAUAAACAAAGGGCUUGGAUGAUAGACCAUGGUUGACAGCUAUGAAUCUAGUCCAGCUCUUUCAUUUUCACUGUGAGAAAAUGAGGCUUGGAAUGAGGGAAGAGGGACUAGAUCACUGCGUGCAGAGCUGCACACAUAGCUAGUGACAGGAGCCAGGAUGGAAACUCUUUGCAGAUGCCUCCUCAAUACCUUUCAGAGAUGGCCUGGUCCCUCUAAGAAGCUAUGUCUUUGGCUUGAUGGAGAGAUUGAACUACAGAAACCAACUCUCUAUGGUGGCUGCUCAUCUGGGAAAAGAAAGGGACAAAAUCUACACUUACCGAGUGACUACUGUGUCACAGGCAUGGAACAUACAUUCACUCAUUCAGAGCAGAAGUCAGCGGGUGUCAACUGCCUACGAGCUUCCCAAAGACUCGAAACUCAGUUUAAAAAAAAUUGGAAAAUUCUGCUCGUCUUGACGCUCAGCUGCAGGGUGGUUCUGGGAGCAGCUGUCCCUCGGGGAGAUGGGUGAGGCCGUAUGAAUGCCACCGAUGGAGAGAUAGCAAACUGUGUGGUGGAGGGAGAAACUGUUAACGUGCAGGAGGGCGCCAGCCUUCCGUGGUGCAAGAAGUUUUCAACUGUCCUUGUCUUUCAAAAGACACUGUCUCAACAGAGUGUCAGCAACUUCUGAAGCCAUUUCAGGCUGUAUUUGUUAAUGACAUUUUAGAAUUCUUCCUUGGUGGGCUCUGCCCAGCUUCUGGUGGUUUAAAUAUUAGAAAUCAGACUGAUGUUGGUGCUGGGAGGAGAAGGAAUUAUGGAAAGACAACAUGAAGGGAAGUUCAGGAUUUGUGGCAAGUCUUGCCCAGGGAUUUGAGGCAAGCUGUGUAGGAUCUGGUUCAAUCGUUCUGUCUCAUACGGGGGAUAUGAUGGCUACCAUUCCUUGGAA